rnacentral:rRNA from 1 species
UACGUAGGUGGCAAGCGUUGUCCGGAAUUAUUGGGCGUAAAGGAUGCGUAGGCGGUCUUUUAAGUGGGAUGUGAAAUACCUGGGCUUAACUCAGGGAUUGCAUUCCAAACUGGGAGACUAGAGUGUAGGAGAGGAAAGUGGAAUUCCCAGUGUAGCGGUGAAAUGCGUAGAGAUUGGGAGGAACACCAGUGGCGAAGGCGACUUUCUGGACUGUAACUGACGCUGAGGCAUGAAAGCGUGGGGAGCAAAC